rnacentral:lncRNA from 1 species
GAGACUCAGAGGCCACUCCGUGUCCCUCAGGGCACUAUUGCUUUGGAAGUAAUGGCAGUGACCAAGACGGUCUGUUGGCACCUCAGAAAUGCCCUCCCCAUACUUACCGCAAGCUCCCAGGAGCUCAGAGCCUGACGGAUUGCCAGCCAUGUCCUCCAGGCUAUCACUGUCCUCUAUCAGGUCUAACCAGUUUUGAGGAUUAUCCAUGCCCAUUGGGAUACUGGUGUCCUGGUACAGGGGAUGCUUUCUUUUGUCCACCUGGCACUUCCAGGGUCCAGCCUGGUGCAAAAUCAUUGGAAGAGUGUGAUCCCUGCUCAGCUGGCUACUAUUGCCCAGACCCAGCACAGACAGGGCUACCUAACACCCAAGGAGUACCUUGUGAGCCUGGCUAUGAGUGCCCAGCAGGUGAUAAAAUCAUGCUCUUUUAUUUUAUUUCCAGCUGUUUAAGCCCAGACAAGUGAAGAGUGCAGAGCCAUGGCAUAUAGCAGUGAUUGGAGCCCAAUUCUUGCUGCUGCCCUUGGUGGAAAUGGCUACUGGUGGAGUGGCUUUAGAAGUAGAUUUAGUAACCUGAAGCUUUUUCCUGGUUUUUUGGCCUUUGAAUUCCCAUCUCCUCUUUCUCUGGCCUCCCUUCUUGUUCUCAGUUAGUUGGGAUUCCUAAAGGAGAUAUCCUUUAUCAUGCAGGGCUUAGAUAUUCAGGUGUGUUAGCAUUUCUUGCUUAACAGUAAAUUGGUUCUCUAUGCUCUUUUAUGAGCAAUAGGAAAAGUGGACUUUUUAUGGACAGUAACCUUGUUUUUCCACCAGGUUCAGUCAAUCCAAAGCCUUGCAGGCCUGGCUCAUACUGCAGUGCUCUCACAGCUGUGCCCACAGUGUGCCCUGCUGGGUAUUACUGUCCUGAAGGCUCAUCAACAUACAAUAGCCCUGAGCAGCUAUGUGUGUUCCCCUAUUACUGUCCCCUGGGCAGUGCCCACCCGCUGCCCUGUGAAGGAGGAUACAUGGCCCUCAGCUCACCUGGGCUAAGAGAUUCCUUUGAGAAGUUCUGCAGGAUCUGUGAUGCAGGCAGUUAUCAUAACGACUCUUUCAUCUCUGCUCCCUGUCAGCCCUGCCCAGCAGGCUUCAUCUGCCCACAAGGUGCUACCAGCUGUACCUGCCAUGGGCUGAACCGGGCUUUCCAGCACUCAGAUGCCUCCUGUAUCUGCCAGGCAGGUUAUAUUUACUAUGAUGAGCGAGGCAAGGAAAACUCUGACAGCAACAGUGACCAGGACUGCCGACCUCAGGUAAGCCUUGGCUUCACAAUGAAGUUGUUGCAUGACAUGGAUAAGAGAGUAGAUCAGUGCUUUGGGCACUGCUUCAGCAUCCGUGAGCAAUCGCAGCUCAGAUCACUGAACUGCUACAGACACAAGGAAGUGCUCUGGCUGCUUUGUUUGAUAGCCAUGACCAUUCCUUGGGGUAUAAUGUCACUUGGCUCCGUUCAUGGAAUAUUACAAGGCUAAAUUCAGUAAGGGCCAGAGGCAAAAGAUAUUUCUAUGCAAAGACAAUGGGAAGCAGCUAAAGCAUCUUAGAUGACUGAUGCAGGAAUUUAAACCUCCAUAUUUUCAAUGUGGGAUUCUUCAUUGGGGGCUGGUUGACAAGUUUGGGAAAUGAACUUGUCCUGAUCUUUUUCAGUGCUUUUCAAGUUGUCACCUAAUGGCCCCUUGUUGCAUUACCAUUAUGCUGUGUGUCAGUGACAAGUGGGGAAUUUCAGGGGUGCUGCUUCUCUGCUGAAACACUUGUGUGACACGGAUUGGAUGUGCUGGUUUUCCAGGUGGACGAGCUCUGUGCUCCUGGAGAGGUCCGUUUAGCAUCGACACGCCGGUGUGUUUUUCCUGAGCAAUAUGACUGCUCUCCAUCUUGUGGGCCUGCGGGUGGAGAGGUUAAUGCAGAGCUGGGCAUGUAAGUCUCAGCAGCCUCUCAUUAAGGAACGCUUCACAAUUAGUUCUGACUGGCUAAGUUGCUGAUGCCACGAGGUCAUUUCAGGGCAGGACUUUGGGAGGUGCUUUUGAGAAACUUUCCAUUGCUGGAGCUGCUCUGUGUGGAAAUAGUGUAAUGUGGUCCUUAGGUUAAGGAAGAAGCAUUAAAAACCAGUACUGGAUGAGCUGGACUGUGAGUUUGGUCCACCCUAUUUACUAUGAAUAUAGAGUAGCCCAUUCAUUAUAUGGAUUGUAAAUAAGAUUGAGGCUUGCUUGACCCUCAGCAUGUUGUAGCUGUUUAUUCAUGUAAGUAAUCAGA